rnacentral:lncRNA from 1 species
AUGCAGGUGUCAAAAGAUAUGAUAAUUGCUAUUCAAGAUUUUAAAUUUGAAGUCUAACCGCUUUACAUUUCUAACUAAAUAUGUUUCUAUAAAAAUGAAUAUAUAAUACAGUGAGUAGCAUGCUAUGGUUCUCUCAAAAAAAAUACUUUCAUAUCUUUCCUCGUCAUUCCAUUUUCGUUUAAUACUAAAAUAAAAAAAAAGGAUCACAUAAAUUCUUUAG